GCGUGAUGCAUAGUCAAUGGGGCGAUC
rnacentral:sRNA from 1 species